rnacentral:rRNA from 1 species
UACAGAGGGGGCAAGCGUUGUUCGGAAUUACUGGACGUAAAGGGCGCGUAGGCGGCCCGCUAAGUCGAACGUGAAAUCCCCAGGCUCAACCUGGGAACUGCGUCCGAUACUGGCAGGCUUGAAUCCGGGAGAGGGAUGUGGAAUUCCAGGUGUGAGCGGUGAAAUUCGUAGAUAUUCGCAGGAACACCAGUGGCGAAGGCGGCUUACUGGUCCAUAACUGACGCUGAGGUGCGAAAGCGUGGGGAGCAAACAGG